GCUCCCGUGGCUCAGUUGGUAGAGCGCUGGACUUCUAAUCCUGAGGCCCCGGGUUCGAGCCCCGGCGGGAGUA